UGUGCACACUGUCAGCCCAUGUUAUCAACUCUCAACAGAUGUGAGGGUGUAACUGACACACGAAUGACCCACACACGAUACGAGAACCUUUGAAAAGAGCUGUAAAGGUCCUCCUCACCUCGCCCUUCAGCUCUUGGACGAUCUCCCCACUUAAAAGCGUAUCUCUUGGCAGCUCAAGUUUGAAAUUCUCCAUUUUCUUCCAGCGUACAGGCAUCUUCCCAUCCCAUGUGUAUAUCUGAGACUUCUACAAAAUUCAACAGAAAACAAAUGUGAGGAUAAAGGAAGUUUCAAUCCCAUGUCAUCAUGAACACAAUUGAGCCUGUUUUUCUGGUGGCAUUAGGAAUUAAGACCUUAGUGUUGCAUGGUUUUACAUGUUCAAGGAAGAAGGGGACAUUAUUAACUCACUACAUCUGCUUUACAAAAAACAAGCUUUAAAACUGCCCUUCAGAAACCAGUGGGUCACGUGACCUAAUGCUUUUACCAUUGUUUUAUACAAUCUAUGCUUAAGACUCACUCCAAGUGCAAGAAGAAAGAUCUGCUCUCCACCUCCCACAAUGCAUCUGUGGUCCAAGACGUGGCGCAACUUUUCAAGCGUGCUGGAGUUGAGAGGAGUCAGCUUACACUGUAACGAAUUUACAUCUGACGUCUGAGAGACAAAAGAUGGAUUUGAGAAUUAGGUUCAAACACUGAAACAAAGCAACAGUAUCAAUAAGUCACAACAUAACACUUUUUGUUAUCAUUGGAAAGGUAAGUGAAAUAUAUAUACAGGUUGAUUUACCUGAACCAAAUAAAUGAAGUAGUUUAUGUCUUUAUAUUAAAAAAAAAAAUGAAAGCACCGAAAAAGCAGAAUAAGUCUAAAUUUAUUAGAGCUUUUGUGUAGUUAUAAUUAGUUUUCUUUGGUUAAAUGCUUAAAACAUACAUUCAGUAUUUUCCCAUUAAGAUUUCUUUCUAUCCCAAAUUUAUUGUCUGACCUUAAUCAAUUCAUAGAAUUUUGACUUUGGGUCUGAUGGGGAUGGAGCAACUCUGGCCUUGUCUGGGACCUGGAAAUGGAAAUAAAAAUGUGUUCAAAAAAAGAUUUAAAAUCACAACCACUAAGUUUUUUAUUCUUUUCAUACAUACAAGUUUUUCCACUUACCCCCCAAAGCUUCAGACACUCCUUCCUGAUGUCAGCUUGUUUCGGUUCAGCGAGCGUCCUAACAAUACGGCCACAGUGCAACAAUGUACCGGAGUGUUUCCGUUGCUGAAAAUUAUUCAGUAGCAAAACUAUUUGAGGCAAAACAAUCCACACAAAUAAACUCUGCAGAGGAAGUCUUACUCCGUCUGCCAUGACGAAAUGCAGCCCUUUUCUCUCUGUACUCUCCAUGACAAAGUUGCGGAACGCGUUGAUGUUUUCUGGCCGAGUAAUGUCACCAUCCCCGUCUACUCCGCCCUCACCUGUGGCACACAAAGGUCAAGCUCUCAAUAAAUAAUUCAUCACCUGAGACCAGGCGAAAUAAUUUCUCUCCUGGGUGUGAUGUUCAGGUUUUGUUAACAUACCAUAAUAAGGCUCAAACACUUCACUUGGAGCAGCGUAGAAAUCUUCUAGUUUGAAGUCGCACGGUCCUUUUAGUGUCAUGCCAAAGCCUUUGGCGUGCCAAUUUCUCCUCCACAGGAUGUACUCUGAAAACCCUCCAGGCCCCGCGCAGACGUCACCAAAAUACAGAAGCUCGCCCUCGCGGUCCUUCGUCAGAGACUUCUGCAUUAUGAAAGAGGUUGUCGGUGUAUAAAGGCCUGUGUGUUCUGAUGCAGCAAACAUUUAAACAGCACAUAUUCAGUUACUUUGACGGACUCACCCCUUGAGAAUCCUUUGGGUUUGUGAACAUAUAGUCGAAGCAGUGGUCGAUGUUGGCCAUUUUCAUAGCUGCUCUAAAUACAGAAGGCACAUUAUAUAACAAAGAUCCCAACAAAAUUAAAUCAAAUUUUAAAACUAAACUUAAAAUUAAAAAUUAGACUCCUGCAAGCUACUUUAUACCACAGGAAUCAGUAAGAGCUUUCAUGCAGUUGAACUUAA